AGCAUAUCAAUAAGCGGAGGAAAAGAAACCAACAGGGAUUGCCCCAGUAACGGCGAGUGAAGCGGCAAAAGCUCAAAUUUGAAAUCCUGCGGGAAUUGUAAUUUGAAGGUUUCGUGGUCUGAGUCGGCCGCGCCCAAGUCCAUUGGAACAUGGCGCCUGGGAGGGUGAGAGCCCCGUAUGGCGCACGCCGACUCUUUGCACCGCGGCUCCGACGAGUCGAGUUGUUUGGGAAUGCAGCUCUAAGUGGGUGGUAAAUUCCAUCUAAAGCUAAAUAUUGGCGAGAGACCGAUAGCGAACAAGUACAGUGAUGGAAAGAUGAAAAGCACUUUGAAAAGAGAGUGAAACAGCACGUGAAAUUGUUGAAAGGGAAGGGCUUGCAAGCAGACACGGUUUUACCGGGCCAGCGUCGAAAAGGGGGGAGGAACAAGAACUCGAGAAUGUGGCGCGCACCUUCGGGCGCGCGUGUUAUAGCUCGUGUUGACGCCUCCAUCCCUUUUCGAGGCCUGCGAUUCUAGGACGCUGGCGUAAUGGUUGCAAGCCGCCCGUCUUGAAACACGGACCAAGGAGUCUAACGUCUAUGCGAGUGUUUGGGUGCAAAACCCCAGCGCGGAAUGAAAGUAAGAGGUUGGAGCCGCAAGGCGCACAAUCGACCGACCCUGAAGUGCUCGGACGGGUUUGAGUAGGAGCAUAGCUGUUGGGACCCGAAAGAUGGUGAACUAUGCCUGGAUAGGGUGAAGCCAGAGGAAACUCUGGUGGAGGCUCGCAGCGGUUCUGACGUGCAAAUCGAUCGUCGAAUCUGGGUAUAGGGGCGAAAGACUAAUCGAACCAUCUAGUAGCUGGUUCCUGCCGAA
rnacentral:rRNA from 1 species